AGAUUGAACGCUGGCGGCAUGCCUUACACAUGCAAGUCGAACGGUAGAGUAGCAAUACUCGAGAGUGGCGAACGGGUGAGUAAUAUAUCGGAACGUGCCCAGUCGUGGGGGAUAACGUAGAGAAAUUUACGCUAAUACCGCAUACGAUCUACGGAUGAAAGCGGGGGAUUCGCAAGAACCUCGCGCGAUUGGAGCGGCUGAUAUCAGAUUAGGUUGUUGGUGAGGUAAAAAGCUCACCAAGCCGACGAUCUGUAGCUGGUUUGAGAGAACGACCAAGCCACACUGGGACUGAGACACGGCCCAGACUCCUACGGGAGGCAGCAGUGGGGAAUUUUGGACAAUGGGCGAAAGCCUGAUCAGCAAUGCCGCGUGCAGGAAGAAGGCCUUGGUUGUAAACUGACUUUUUAGUACGGAACGAAACGUCCUUCUAAUAAAGAGGCUAAUGACGACCGUAAGAAUAAGCACCGACUAACUACGUGCCAGCAGCCGCGUAA
rnacentral:rRNA from 1 species